rnacentral:rRNA from 1 species
GCCCGCUCAGAAACUUAAAUGAAUUGACGGGGGCCCGCACAAGCGGUGGAGUAUGUGGUUUAAUUCGAUGCAACGCGAAGAACCUUACCUGGUCUUGACAUCCCGGAGACCCUUAGGAAACUAGGGGGUGCUUCCAUCUGGAAGAAUCUGGAGACAGGUGCUGCAUGGCUGUCGUCAGCUCGUGUCGUGAGAUGUUGGGUUAAGUCCCGCAACGAGCGCAACCCUUGCCUUUAGUUGCCAGCAGUUCGGCUGGGCACUCUAAAGGGACUGCCGGUGUUAAACCGGAGGAAGGUGGGGAUGACGUCAAGUCCUCAUGGCCUUUAUGACCAGGGCUACACACGUACUACAAUGGCCGAUACAAAGGGCAGCGACACUGCGAGGUGAAGCCAAUCCCGUAAAAUCGGUCUCAGUCCGGAUUGGAGUCUGCAACUCGACUCCAUGAAGUUGGAAUCGCUAGUAAUCGUGGAUCAGCAUGCCACGGUGAAUACGUUCCCGGGCCUU